rnacentral:rRNA from 1 species
UACGGAAGGCAGCAGUGGGGAAUAUUGCACAAUGGGCGAAAGCCUGAUGCAGCUAUGCCGCGUGUAUGAAGAAGGCCUUAGGGUUGUAAAGUACUUUCAUCGGGGAGGAAAAAACAAAACUAAUAAUUUUAUUUCUUGACGUUACCCGAAAAAGAAGCACCGGCUAACUCCGUGCCAGCAGCCGCGGUAAUACGGAGGGUGCUAGCGUUAAUCAGAAUUACUGGGCGUAAAGAGCACGUAGGUGGUUUUUUUAAGUCAGAUGUGAAAUCCCUGGGCUUAACCUAGGAACUGCAUUUUGAAACUGAAAUACUAGAGUAUCGUAGAGGGAGGUAGAAUUCUAGGUGUAGCGGUGAAAUGCGUAGAUAUCUGGAGGAAUACCUGUGGCGAAAGCGGCCUCCUAAACGAAUACUGACACUGAGGGUGCGAAAAGCGUGGGGAGCGAAAACAGGGAUUAGAUACC